UAAAUCGGAUGUCUUGAUCCACCGGAUUGUC
rnacentral:piRNA from 1 species